GCAGUCGCCGCGGGAAUACGUAGGGUGCAAGCGUUGUCCGGAAUUAUUGGGCGUAAAGAGCUCGUAGGCGGUUUGUCGCGUCUGCUGUGAAAUCCCGAGGCUCAACCUCGGGCUUGCAGUGGGUACGGGCAGACUAGAGUGCGGUAGGGGAGAUUGGAAUUCCUGGUGUAGCGGUGGAAUGCGCAGAUAUCAGGAGGAACACCGAUGGCGAAGGCAGAUCUCUGGGCCGUAACUGACGCUGAGGAGCGAAAGCGUGGGGAGCGAACAGGAUUAGAUACCCGCGUAGUCCCUGUCUCUUAUAC
rnacentral:rRNA from 1 species